rnacentral:snRNA from 1 species
AUACUUACCUGGCAGAGGAGAUACUGUGAUCA